GGGUACUUAUGCCCAUACGCUUUGCGAGCUAACUCCCGACAGUAGAGUGCUACGCAGGUGAGUCACUGUUCAGUGAUGAUGUACUCCUACAUCUCACCUGUAUGCCAUACAGUGUCUCCACACUUCUUGGUUUAAGAGGACAAUCAACUAAAUGACACACAACGACCUAUACUUGACAUAGCUAUUGUCCAAUUGACAGCUCAUCAUUUGGUCGCGAACUGGUUUAAGGACUAAAUGAUAAAACCUCUUUAUCCACUAAAUUAGUCCUAAGGACUUCAUCACAAUACACAGGAG
rnacentral:lncRNA from 1 species